UACGUAGGGCGCAAGCGUUAUCCGGAAUUAUUGGGCGUAAAGAGCUCGUAGGCGGUUUGUCGCGUCUGCCGUGAAAGUCCGGGGCUCAACUCCGGAUCUGCGGUGGGUACGGGCAGACUAGAGUGAUGUAGGGGAGACUGGAAUUCCUGGUGUAGCGGUGAAAUGCGCAGAUAUCAGGAGGAACACCGGUGGCGAAGGCGGGUCUCUGGGCAAUUCCUGACGCUGAGGCGCGAAAGCUAGGGGAGCAAACGGG
rnacentral:rRNA from 1 species